GUGAAUCAUCGAAUUUUUGAACGCAAAUUGCGCUUCCUGGUAUCCCGGGAAGUAUGCCUGUUUGAGGGUCAGUAUUAACAAAAAAUCGGUUUUGUUGCAAAUUGUGACGUUUCCGGCUCUUGGGGUUAUUUUAACUUUUUUGGUUAAGGUGCUUAAAAUUGACCUUUUUUGCGCAUUGUUAUACGUACAUAAAUUUUUUUUUAUUCUUCGAUUCUUUAUG
rnacentral:misc_RNA from 1 species